rnacentral:rRNA from 1 species
AGAGUUUGAUCAUGGCUCAGGACGAACGCUGGCGGCGUGCCUAACACAUGCAAGUCUACUUGAACUUACCGCUUGCGGUAACGGAUGGUGGCGAACGGGUGAGUAACGCGUAGACAACCUACCAUUUAAAGAGGGAUAAUUCACUGAAAAGAGGACUAAUACCUCAUGUGCUCUUCGAUUGGCAUCAAUUGAAGAGGAAAGACUACGGUCGUUAAAUGAUGGGUCUGCGUAUCAUUAGUUAGUUGGUAAGGUAACGGCUUACCAAGACAUCGAUGAUUAGCUGGUCUGAGAGGAUGAUCAGCCACACUGGGACUGAGAUACGGCCCAGACUCCUACGGGAGGCAGCAGUGAGGAAUAUUGCACAAUGGGGGUAACCCUGAUGCAGCAACGCCGCGUGUACGAAGAAUCAGAUUACUGUGUAAAGUACUGUUAGAAGGGACGAAAUAUUUGAUUAGUAGUCGAAUUUGCCGGUACCUUCUAAGAAAGCUCCGGCUAACUCCGUGCCAGCAGCCGCGGUAAUACGGGGGGAGCAAGCGUUGCCCGGAAUCAUUGGGCGUAAAGGGCAUGUAGGUGGUACAUUAAGUCAGUUUUUAAAUGUCACGGCUUAA